GUCGGGAAUUUUGGGCAAUGGGCGAAAGCCUGACCCAGCAACGCCGCGUGAGGGAUGAAGGCCCUCGGGUCGUAAACCUCUGUCGGGAGGGAAGAACGAUCGGCAGUCGAACAGGCUGACGGUCUGACGGUACCUCCAAAGGAAGCACCGGCUAACUCCGUGCCAGCAGCCGCGGUAAUACGGAGGGUGCAAGCGUUGUUCGGAAUCAUUGGGCGUAAAGCGCGUGUAGGCGGCUUGGUAAGUCGGGUGUGAAAUCCCGGGGCCCAACCCCGGAACUGCAUUCGAAACUGCCUCGCUAGAGUCCCGGAGAGGAAGGCGGAAUUCCCGGUGUAGAGGUGAAAUUCGUAGAUAUCGGGAGGAACACCAGCGGCGAAGGCGGCCUUCUGGACGGUGACUGACGCUGAGACGCGAAAGCGUGGGGAGCAAACAGGAUUAGAUACCCCAGUAGUCC
rnacentral:rRNA from 1 species